GAUGUUAGCGGCGGACGGGUGAGUAACACGUGGGUAACCUGCCUGUAAGACUGGGAUAACUCCGGGAAACCGGGGCUAAUACCGGAUGCUUGUUUGAACCGCAUGGUUCAAACAUAAAAGGUGGCUUCGGCUACCACUUACAGAUGGACCCGCGGCGCAUUAGCUAGUUGGUGAGGUAAUGGCUCACCAAGGCAACGAUGCGUAGCCGACCUGAGAGGGUGAUCGGCCACACUGGGACUGAGACACGGCCCAGACUCCUACGGGAGGCAGCAGUAGGGAAUCUUCCGCAAUGGACGAAAGUCUGACGGAGCAACGCCGCGUGAGUGAUGAAGGUUUUCGGAUCGUAAAGCUCUGUUGUUAGGGAAGAACAAGUACCGUUCGAAUAGGGCGGUACCUUGACGGUACCUAACCAGAAAGCCACGGCUAACUACGUGCCAGCAGCCGCGGUAAUACGUAGGUGGCAAGCGUUGUCCGGAAUUAUUGGGCGUAAAGGGCUCGCAGGCGGUUUCUUAAGUCUGAU
rnacentral:rRNA from 1 species